AUGGAUGUCUUGAGGAUAACAAUGGAUAUGGCAUCUUCAAAAGCUGUGGCAUUCUGGAGGUGUUUUUCUCUUACUCUGGGCUUUGAAAGAACUUAUUUUCUGUUAUCUGGAGCAGGAACUAGAUCAUCAUCAGUAGCAGUUGUUCUGGUCUAUUUUCUUUUUUACAUGGUGCCUGGUCCUAAUCUUCUGCAACUGGAUUUGUUCAAAUGGAUCUUGAUAGCCUGGGGGCCUGACAAAGUUCAUGGGACUCUGGUGACUGCAAGUUCUCACUCUGAAGAUCUGAUUGUAGGCCUGAACCAAAAUUUCUGUUUUGUUCUCCUGUCUAUUUGCUUCUUAAAUGAUGAAAGUUAUCCUUUAAAAUGGUGUUGUCUUUGAGUCUUAUGCACAUCCACUUCAGAAGUGUUCAGACACUGUGUGCUUGGGAUGUUUUCAGACAUUGUUAAAAUAUUUCAGUUCUGUUGUGUGCCUAAACCUCAUGAUUGCUCUGAUUAUUGUGUUCGUUUUUUACAUGUAGUGGUUCUCUACCUAUAAUGGAGGAGAUCAUCACCUGGGUUUUCAAUCAUUGUGGUAUUUCUCUUAACUCAGAUUUUUAAGUCACAGUAACUGUUGAAACUGUUCAGGUUAUUUUUAAGGAUUUUUGCUGGACAGAAAGUAUAAUUUAUUUUGCAAACUUGGCAGCCUAGUAUUACUGAAAGCUUUCAGUAUGAUGAUACUCUGAUGUAAUAAAAUAAGUAGGAAAAGACA
rnacentral:lncRNA from 1 species